GUAUUUUGCAUGUAAUCGCCCAUCCUAGAGCAGACUAAUACAUAUACUAUUUGUAUAUGUAUUUACCCAUGACUUACUUUUUGUAGUACCCUACUAAUUACUCACACGCUUUCUUCUUUAGAUAUUCAUUAUAGUUAAGUCCAUCUACUGUAUGUCUUGAAAUAUGAGCUGGAUCAGUUAUUGCUGGUGUGAAGUAAUAACUGGCAUUAGAAAUGUAUAGUUUUGUACGAUAUGGAAAUUUCCUCCGUUUUGAGUCGACCUUGAACUUCUCAGGCCCAUUUUCUGUUUGUGUAUUGAGUAGCCAGGUGUCAAUUUGUCAUUAGCAGCCAAUUAGUGCAAAGUUGGGACGAACAUUCUACCCUAUCAGAUUCUUAGAAGGGCGGGACUAAUCUCAGAACGAGAAACAGUGACACUUAGCUGUUUGUAAGUCCAAUAAACUCUAUCCAGUUACUAUAUUUGUGUAUACCUUGCUAAAACGAUAGAGUGAGCUCUGUUUAUAGCGGUUUUAAGUCAGUAAUGUUGCUAAAUCAGCACAAACACCUAGCUAACUAGCUGUCGCCCUCACUUGACCUGUGGAAAACAGACUGUGGGAAGCACGUUUUUUCCACCAAGCUUCUGAGGUGCUUCGGACACACAUGCUGCUGCUGUACAGGUGCUCAGGAGAAACCUGCUUUUUGCACAUGGACCAAGCCUCAGGACGGGUUUUCUUCAUCACUUCACCAUCCGCUCUCUGCCGUCUCCAAGGAACAUGAUCCUGAACCUGGGAAACAUGCACCUGGACUGAGACUGACACACAAAUUACUCAAAGGUCAUGUUAUUCAGCUUUUCAAGAGGCGUCCAUCCCACUGAUAGCAUCAGCCCUUUGUCACUGAAAGGGGAAAAAGAAAGAGCCACGUGGAUGAUGGCAAUAUCACUGCUGCUGUUUCUCAGACCCUGCCAGAUUUUAUGUUCUUCUCUUAACCGAGACACUUCACUUGUUUUUGGCUCUUGUGAGCAUUUAGCUUGUCCCCAUGUUGUAAAAAAAAUACUGUAUGGUACAAAGCCACAGGAUUAAAAUUAAUUGAGAAUCCACACACUGUUCUCUGGCAGCAGAUUGUUUACUUGUUUGUCGGCUGCAUGUGUGUGCCAAUUCUUCAAUGCUGAACC